UUCUCGGUGCCGACACCCGCGCAGAGAGCGCGGGAGUGACUAGGUGGACGGCAGGCAAGGUGAUGGAAACGGAAGGGGAGCGGGAGAGGGCGGCGGCGGGGAGUCAGAGAGGGAGCCCGCAGCUCGUAGUGAACGACGAUCUCCUUUAGAUGGCGAAGAAGGACACCUGGCGUUCAGCUCUCGCAAAGCCCGGCAAUGGCGUCAUCUCCUUCCACGAUGAACACUCUUUUUCUACUAUGUUUGAUUUAAUCUCUUCCAAGAUCGCCAAGUGAAGAAGAUGAUUCCAAACACCAUGGUGUUGCAGCACAGAGAUUUUGCUACGGUAAAUGUUCAAGUAUGGAUGACCAUAUUGUAUUAAUAAUUGCCUUUGAUAUACUCAUUCAGAUGCUUCACUUCUGCAUGUUGUUGUUCUACUAUUGUUCGAACGACAUCUACGAUUGAGAUCAUGCCAACUACCUUCUUGUCAAUUACUGGCAUGUGACGAAUAUGAUGGUCUGCCAAAAUAGAAGAUCACAUGUAUCAUGUAUUUGUUAAAUUCUUACUAAGUUUUGGGAGGAAUCCAUACAAGUAAGAAUCAAAUAUUUACCUAUCAUUAGCUGCAUAGCUUUUAGAAUGUUUGUAUCGGAAGUCACAGAAAUGAGUUUGUUCUGUAACACAGCAAAAGAUAAUGUUAGAAGACCAAGAAAUAGGAGCAACCGUCCGAGUUAUAAGGAAAUGCAAGCUUACGUGCAGUGCAAGAUUAUACCUCAUCAGUCAUUAUUUCCCCGACUCUUGUUGCUGUGGAAGAUUUUCCUUGCACAAUAAUUUUCCGUAGAUAAUCUGUAACAAAUGUGAAUUCAGAACAACAAAAUGGAGAAUCACUUUGAUUUGAACCGAAGUUUAAGGUUCCUGUUGUUAUUUCUUCUCUGUCCUUGUCAGGGGAUUGAUUUAUUUUGUAAUGAUUCUGAGUUAUGUGAUGGUACACAUUUUGCAGACUUGGAUAGUAUAUUUACAAUAUAACUCGAAUGUCUCUAUGUCCUAGGACUUAUCUUGUCAUAUUGGGAUUUGCAUCAUGUUUUGCUAUAUCACAAUAAUUUUGUAGCCCUUGAAAUGUUUCUCAUGAUAACUGAUCAUCAACUAAAGGCAAGGGUUUUGAUUUCAAUAUUUUGGAUUACUUGGUGGUCAAACAAGUGAAUUCUGAUUACCUCUCUCAGUGACAAUACCAGCAAGCAGUUUUUCAUCCUCUGGCUUUAUCACAACCAAGGCUCCAAUAUUGUGUUGUGUCAUCUGCAAAUUAAAUUUUCAGCUGGAAGUGUUAUUGCGAUGCAUCAAAUUAGAGUGUUGUAUGUUAUGACAUCUAACAAAAUUGAAUGAGUUAAUACAUUCUGUACUGCAUCAUAGACUGUAUCACUCGUGCAACACCAAUAUACUGCUUCUUUUUCUUCUUCUCCCUUUGCUUUCAGAAGCUCAUAUACUGUUAUGUUCUCCAAUCCUUUAUGUGGUAUUCUAGGAGUUGAAAUAGCAGUCUCAAAACGUGUGACUAUGUUAGGCCAGUAAAAGCCAUCCGUGAAUCUGAGGUGCUGUAGAACUGCAUGUUUGAGCCGGUUUCCAUGGGCCUGUAUUGCUUUAGCUACUCCUUGCAUUACCUGUUGGUGCAUCAAAUGUAAACUCAGUGGUAAGAUUUGAAUGAUUUCUUGGUUAUGGAUUACUUAUGGAUGAUUUAUCUGUAGCCUUGUCUAACAAACAGGAGUAGAGACAAAGUCUACCGAUCUGGAAAUUCAGCUAACUGCACCUAUUUUCUUGUGUUUAGAUAUUUGAGACUAUGUCGAUCAAUUCUUCAUAUGGAUCGCCAAACGUAACUAGGAUGUUGGUUAUUCAAAAUUUCAUCAAUGCUUUGAAAAACUAGAGCAAGGAGAAAGUCGGACUUAAGUUAGCAAAUCUGGAAUGUUCUGCUAAUCCCUCCAUGCAACAUGAUGAGUAACCAAGAAGGAAGUCACGGCGACUUUGGCUUGAUGAUAGUGAAUUGAAAUAUGAUGUUUUUUAUGCCUGUGUUUGUGACAUGAAAUUUUAUGUUUGCAGGCAUGAGCCUUUUGUUCAUCUAAGCCUCUCAAGUGAAAAAAAUGCAAUAUGCUGCACUGAACAGAUGUGUUGGAUUAGAGACUUGUGUUCAUGCUGAGCAUCAAAUAGACACUUUCGAUGAGGUUUGUGCAGAUGGCCAUCAGACUAAUGUACUAAACCUUGUUAUUACCUUGAUUCAGGAGGGAUAGCUGCAGCUGGUGAGGGUACCAAAAUGGUAUAUGUGCCUGCUCCCCUGGCAGAGGUUGUGAAGGCCAUGAAGCUUCUCUCAUGGAUGCUUAAAUGCCUGGAGCAGAGUCAUAUGUGUUGCAAGAAGGCAUGUCUUACACCCUCUUUGCAGGAACUGGUUCUUAGCCUUUCCCUUGAGGUUUCUUCACACCGACGUGUGGACGAAGCAAAGCAGGCAAAGUCGGGGUUUGAGCCAUGGAAAGGAUCUUCAUUUUCUCGGAAGCUUCUACUUUGAGCUAUGUGGUCGUUAUAUAAAAUGGAAAAGUGUCCUCUCGAUAUCAAUCAAUAUUAGAUGUUUUUUUUCAUAUUUUCUUGGAUAAUUUUGUGCUUGGCCUUUGUUACUUGUAUAACCACAGGAGUAAUGAAACCCAAUUACUAUAAGAAGUCCCCAAAGUUUGUUGUCUGCUAUCUAAAUCUCAUAAGGAGAUUCA